rnacentral:rRNA from 1 species
UACGGAGGGUGCAAACGUUGCUCGGAAUCAUUGGGCGUAAAGCGCGCGUAGGCGGCGAAGCAAGUUGGAUGUGAAAGCCCUGGGCUCAACCUAGGAUGUGCAUACAAAACUGCUUCGCUUGAAUCUCGGAGGGGGUCAGGGAAUUCCCGGUGUAGAGGUGAAAUUCGUAGAUAUCGGGAGGAACACCAGUGGCGAAGGCGCUGACCUGGACGAUGAUUGACGCUGAGGCGCGAAAGCGUGGGGAGCAAAC